rnacentral:rRNA from 1 species
GAUGAACGCUGGCGGCGUGCCUAAUACAUGCAAGUCGAGCGAACAGACGAGAAGCUUGCUCCUCUGACGUUAGCGGCGGACGGGUGAGUAACACGUGGAUAACCUACCUAUAAGACUGGGAUAACUUCGGGAAACCGGAGCCAAUACCGGAUAAUAUAUUGAACCGCAUGGUUCAAUAGUGAAAGACGGUUUUGCUGUUACUUAUAGAUGGAUCCGCGCCGCAUUAGCUAGUUGGUAAGGUAACGGCUUACCAAGGCGACGAUGCGUAGCCGACCUGAGAGGGUGAUCGGCCACACUGGAACUGAGACACGGUCCAGACUCCUACGGGAGGCAGCAGUGGGGAAUAUUCGGCAAAGGGCGAAAGCCUGACGCAGCAAUGCCGCGUGAGUGAUGAAGGUCUUCGGAUCGUAAAGCUCUUUUGUUGGGGAAGAAAAACAGUGGAUGAAUCCCUCGCUGUUUUGACGGUACCCAAUGAAAAAGCACCGGCUAACUUCGUG